AUAUCAGUCAUGCAUAGCAUAUCAAUAAGCGGAGGAAAAGAAACUAACAAGGAUUCCCUUAGUAACGGCGAGUGAAGCGGGAAGAGCUCAAAUUUGAAAUCUUCAAGGUUUCACCUUGACGAAUUGUAGUUUAAAGAAGUGUUUUCUGUUGAAGUUUUGGUAAAAGUUCUUUGGAAUAGGACAUCAUAGAGGGUGAGAAUCCCGUAUUUGACCAUUACUUUCAGCUUUGUGAUACACUUUCAAAGAGUCGGAUUGUUUGGGAAUGCAGUCCAAAAUGGGUGGUAAAUUUCAUCUAAAGCUAAAUAUUGGCGAGAGACCGAUAGCGAACAAGUACCGUGAGGGAAAGAUGAAAAGAACUUUGAAAAGAGAGUUAAACAGUACGUGAAAUUGUCAAAAGGGAAGCGUUUGACACCAGUGUUGUUUUCUCGAAAAUCAAUUAAAAAGAGUUGGAUUUUGUGUUGUAUUGACUUUAUCGGCUUUCUUCACUCUUUUCCAGCUUUUUUUAAUGCACUUUUCGUUUAACAAGUCAACAUCAGUUUCUUUUGUUGUAAAAAGGUCAUUGGAAGGUGGCUUUCUCUUCGGAGAAAGUGUUUAUAGCCUUUGACUCAUGCAAUCGGAGAGACUGAGGUCUGCAGCGUAGAUCCUUCGGGGUUAGAUACAUUUGUGCUAAGUUAUAGCUUUUCAUAGACAACUUGUUGACUAUGUUUAGUCUUGUAGCUUACUCGCUUAUGCUAUUUUACCUACGCUUAGGAUGUUGAACUCUAUCACACACAG
rnacentral:rRNA from 1 species